rnacentral:rRNA from 1 species
AUUGAACGCUGGCGGCAUGCCUAACACAUGCAAGUCGAACGAGUGGCGGACGGGUGAGUAAUGUCUGGGAAACUGCCCGAUGGAGGGGGAUAACUACUCGAAACGGUAGCUAAUACCGCAUACCAUCGGAUCUGCCCAGAUGGGAUUAGCUAGUAGGUGGGGUAACGGCUCACCAAGGCGACGAUCCCUAGCUGGUCUGAGAGGAUGACCAGCCACACUGGAACUGAGACACGGUCCAGACUCCUACGGGAGGCAGCAGUGGGGAAUUUUGCACAAGGGGCGCAAGCCUGAUGCAGCCAUGCCGCGUGUAUGAAGAAGGCCUUCGGGUUGUAAAGUACUGUCGGCAGGGAGGCGGUACUUGCAGAAUAAGCACCGGCUAACUCCGUGCCAGCAGCCGCGGUAAUUC